rnacentral:rRNA from 1 species
GAAAGCGGGGGAUCUUCGGACCUCGCGUUAUUGGAUUGGCCUAUAUCUGAUUAGCUAGUUGGUGAGGUAAAGGCUCACCAAGGCGACGAUCAGUAGCUGGUCUGAGAGGAUGAUCAGCCACACUGGAACUGAGACACGGUCCAGACUCCUACGGGAGGCAGCAGUGGGGAAUUUUGGACAAUGGGCGAAAGCCUGAUCCAGCCAUUCCGCGUGAGUGAAGAAGGCCUUCGGGUUGUAAAGCUCUUUCGGCAGGAACNAAAUGGUUACGGUUAAUAACUGUGACUUCUGACGGUACCUGAAGAAGAAGCACCGGCUAACUACGUGCCAGCAGCCGCGGUAAUACGUAAGGUGCGAGCGUUAAUCGGAAAUUACUGGGCGUAAAGCGUGCGCAGGCGGUUUUGUAAGUCAGAUGUGAAAGCCCCGGGCUUAACCCUGGGAAUUGCGUUUUGAAGGCUAGAGUGUGUCA